rnacentral:lncRNA from 1 species
GAACCGUACUAAUAGUAACAAUAGUAAAAACAGUAACAGUAAUAACACGAAAAAAAAAACAAGGGGUACAUCAAGGAGAACCAUUGGUAAUGGUCUUAUCGGUAAUGGUACAAAUAGUAAUAGUAAUAAUGAUGUUAAUGGUAAUACGAAUAGUGGUAAUAACAAUAGUGGUAUUAACAGUAGUGGUAUUAACAGUAGUGGUAUUAACAGUAGUUGUAUUAACAGUAGUUGUAUUAACAGUAGUGGUAUUAACAGUAGUGGUAUUAACAGUAGUGGUAAUAACAGUAGUGAUAAUAAUGACAGUAACAAUAGUAGCGAUAAUAAUAGGUGCAAUCACUAUACCCAAUGUGAUAACAUUUUAUGUGAUAACAGACAACAUAUUGAUAUUAUGUGUUAUAAUAAAAACAUGACAAUGAAUAACACAUUAUGCGAAUAUUGUUCUCAUUUAAAAAAUAGUAAAAAUGAUUUUUCUAAUUAUUAUGAUUUUACAAAUAUGCAAUCACAAUCAAAUGAUAAUACAUGUAAUUAUUUAAAUUGGAAUAACAAUAAUCGCAAUAAUAUUCAAAAGAAUGUAGAUAACAAUGAGACAUUAAUAGAUAAACGAAACAAUAGAAACAAUAUAACUAAUACUGAUUCUAUUAUUAAAAAAAGUAGUAACAGUACAAACAGUAUGAACACCAAUUCGAAGCAUAAAAAGGUUGGAAGUGGUAAUUCCAUUAACACAACUGAAACUCUUAUUGGUGCUGAUAAUAAUACUGCUGUUGCUGUUGAUAAUACUGAUAGUGCUACAGAUAGUACUGCCCUUACUAACGCUACUGACACUUCUGAUGUUACUUUCUCGAGACCUAGUAAUGGUAUUAUGAAUAAUGGUAAUAUAUAUAACCGAAGUAUUAGAGAACAUAAUUUUACAAGUCAUUGUAUAAUCACAAGUGAUAAUCAAAAUAAUUUAAUUCAAUGUACUGUAAAAAAAACAGCAACAAAUUUUAAUAUAAAUAAAAAAAGUGAUAUGAUGUCAGCAUCAGCACAAUAUAGUAUUAAUACAAAUCUGGAAGAUAUUCGAAAACAAAUACCAUUUCAAAAUACACAUCAUAUUAACAUGAAAGAUAUACAACAUAGUAGUAAUUCUUUACACAUGGUAAAACAAAGUAGCAAUUUUACACUAAAAGAAAUGUCAAACAACAGUAACAUUAAUAAUAAUAAUUGUGGUAGUAAUAGUAAUAAUGUUACUAAUAGAAAUGGUAGUAACGGUAGUAAUAACAGUUGUAGUUGUAGUUGUAGUAGUAGUAGUAAUAGUACAAGUAAAAGUAGAAGUAGAGGUAGUAGUAACAGCAGU